CCCCGGCCCCCGCCGGCCCCGGCCGCCGCCUCCAGGCAGCCCUCCGCAGCUCGCCGGCGUCCCGCGCGGCGCGAUGCUGUGCUUCCUGAAGGGAAUGGCCUUCGUCCCCUUCCUCCUGGUGACCUGGUCGUCGGCCGCCUUCAUUAUCUCCUACGUGGUGGCCGUGCUGUCCGGGCACGUCAACCCCUUCCUCCCUUACAUCAGUGAUACAGGAACAACACCGCCAGAGAGUGGAAUUUUUGGAUUUAUGAUAAACUUCUCUGCCUUUCUUGGUGCAGCCACCAUGUACACAAGAUAUAAAAUAGUAGAGAAGCAAAAUCAAACCAGCUAUUUCAGCACUCCUGUUUUUAACUUGGUGUCCUUAGUUCUUGGAUUGGUGGGAUGUAUCGGAAUGGGCAUUGUAGCCAAUUUUCAGGAGCUAGCUGUGCCGGUGGUCCACGAUGGGGGCGCUCUACUGGCUUUUGUGUGCGGUGUGGUAUACACCCUCCUGCAGUCCAUCAUCUCCUACAAAGCGUGUCCGCAGUGGAACAGCCUCCUGACGUGCCACAUACGCAUGGCCAUCUCUGCUGUGUCCUGCGCAGCUGUUGUCCCCAUGAUUGCCUGUGCUUCACUAAUUUCUAUAACCAAGUUGGAGUGGAAUCCAAAAGAAAAGGAUUAUGUAUAUCACGUGGUGAGUGCAAUCUGUGAAUGGACUGUGGCCUUUGGUUUUAUUUUCUACUUCCUAACGUUCAUCCAAGAUUUCCAGAGUGUCACUCUCAGGAUAUCCACAGAAAUCAAUGGUGAUAUUUGAAGAAAGGAGAAUGUAUCUAGAAGUUUCUAGAAGUGAUCCAGAGGACCACAGGGUUUUGAUGUCGCCCUGAUCGGCAUGCGUCUGUGGCACAUCCGGAACUUGAAUGUCAUUAAGAAUUCCUAAUAGUUGUACUAUUUACAAAGUUCAAUUGUUUGGGCUUCAUGAUUCUAUGACAAGUCUCUUCUGGACAGUUACCACAGAAAUUGUUAACAUGGGCUAAACCAAAUGGUUACACCAGUCUUGGGCAAACUGAGAAGGCCAAAACCUCACUCCAGACAAACAUAUCCUGCUGAUUUCGUGCACCUUCUAAAGUUGGUCUUAUCCACAUUUUUGGUAUUAUUUUUCAUUUCUGUGAACUUGCAUUUCCUUGGACCCCGUGGCUGA